rnacentral:rRNA from 1 species
CGAACGCUGGCGGCGCGUUUUAAGCAUGCAAGUCGAACGGUAGAGAGGUGCUUGCACCUCUUGAGAGUGGCGAACGGGUGAGUAACACGUAGGUGAUCUACCUCUGGAUUGGGGAUAGCCUGUGGAAACACAGGAUAAUACCGAAUACGAGCCGGUAACUAUGGUUGCCGGAGGAAAGGCCCUUAGGGGUCGUCCGGAGAUGAGCCUGCGGUCCAUUAGCUAGUUGGUGUGGUAAGAGCGCACCAAGGCAACGAUGGAUAGCCGGCCUGAGAGGGUGAUCGGCCACACUGGGACUGAGACACGGCCCAGACUCCUACGGGAGGCAGCAGCUAAGAAUCUUCCGCAAUGGGCGAAAGCCUGACGGAGCGACGCCGCGUGAACGAUGAAUGUCGUGAGAUUGUAAAGUUCUUUUCCUGGGGAGGAAUAAGGUUCGGAGGGAAUGCCGGAUCGAUGACGUGAACCAGGGAAUAAGCCCCGGCUAAUUCC